AGUAGGGGCUUCUUCUUCUUGCUCCCUAACUUCUUGCCCAACUGUGACAUGCAUUUAUAAUACAUUUAGUCCUGUAUCAAGGGCUAUAAUCUACGUGCCAAUUAUAAUAUAGGGAACUUUAAUUGAUUCAACUCCCCCGUUCCCUAAAUCUUUUCUUUUCUUUCUUCUUUUUCUUUUUAAUUAAUUAACUCACUAUUUAUGUGUAUUAGGGACUCCCUUGCAUGAGUACAAGGUCCCUUUUAGCUUGAUCUAGGCUUAAUACUCUAUUAUAGCAUGAAAUCCCUUAUUUUCCACCCGGAUGAACAGUAACCCGGACCGACAGCCGGUUACUUCAUCCUGGGUUUGAUCCACUUUUCAAACUCCAGAUUUGAUGAAAUUUUUACCUAACAUUCUACACUCAUAGGAGAUUCCAAAGAGGUAACAUGCAUUGCUAUCGGAGGUCGUUUGACCCCCUAAAUAAUUCGCCGAAGUUGGAACUUCGACACAGUUUUUCCGU
rnacentral:lncRNA from 1 species